rnacentral:rRNA from 1 species
UACGUAGGGGGCAAGCGUUGUCCGGAAUCAUUGGGCGUAAAGCGCGUGUAGGCGGUUCGGUAAGUCCGCUGUGAAAGUCGGGGGCUCAACCCUCGGAUGCCGGUGGAUACUGUCGAGCUUGAGUACGGAAGAGGCGAGUGGAAUUCCUGGUGUAGCGGUGAAAUGCGCAGAUAUCAGGAGGACACCAAUUGCGAAGGCAGACUCGCUGGACGUUACUGACGCUGGAGGCGCGAAAGCGUGGGUAGCAAACAGG